rnacentral:rRNA from 1 species
AGACGACGCUGGCGGCGUGGAUUAGGCAUGCAAGUCGAACGGUAUCAUCCUUCGGGGGUGAGAGAGUGGCGAACUGGUGAGUAACACGUAGGUUAUCUACCCUCAAGACGGGGACAACCCAGGGAAACUUGGGCUAAUACCGGAUGUGAGCAACUUUUAGUUGUUUGAAAGGUGGCGUAAGCUGUCGCUUGGGGAUGAGCCUGCGUCCUAUUAGUUAGUUGGUGAGGUAACGGCUCACCUAGGCAAUGAUAGGUAGGCGGCCUUAACGGGUGGUCGCCCACACUGGGAUUGAGAUACGGCCCAGACCCCUACGGGAGGCAGCAGUCGAGAAUAGUCUACAAUGGUCGGAAGACUGAUAGUGCGACGCCGCGUGAACGAUGAAUCCCUUCGGGGUGUAAAGUUCUUUUAUAUGUGAGCAGUGCUUCUUAUAUUAACAGUAUGGGGAGAGAGAUAUUAGCAUAUGAAUAAGCAACGGCUAACUCCGUG